rnacentral:rRNA from 1 species
AAAGGCGCGCGAUACAGGGUGACAGCCCCGUACACAAAAGCGCAUGUGCUGUGAGCUCGAUGAGUAGGGCGGGACACGUGGUAUCCUGUCUGAAUAUGGGGGGACCAUCCUCCAAGGCUAAAUACUCCUGACUGACCGAUAGUGAACCAGUACCGUGAGGGAAAGGCGAAAAGAACCCCGGCGAGGGGAGUGAAAAAGAACCUGAAACCGUGUACGUACAAGCAGUGGGAGCACCCUUUGGGGUGUGACUGCGUACCUUUUGUAUAAUGGGUCAGCGACUUAUAUUCUGUAGCAAGGUUAACCGAAUAGGGGAGCCGGAGGGAAACCGAGUCUUAACCGGGCGUUAAGUUGCAGGGUAUAGACCCGAAACCCGGUGAUCUAGCCAUGGGCAGGUUGAAGGUUGGGUAACACUAACUGGAGGACCGAACCGACUAAUGUUGAAAAAUUAGCGGAUGACCUGUGGCUGGGGGUGAAAGGCCAAUCAAACCGGGAGAUAGCUGGUUCUCCCCGAAAGCUAUUUAGGUAGCGCCUCGUGAAUUCAUCUCCGGGGGUAGAGCACUGUUUCGGCUAGGGGGCCAUCCCGGCUUACCAACCCGAUGCAAACUGCGAAUACCGGAGAAUGUUAUCACGGGAGACACACGGCGGGUGCUAACGUCCGUCGUGAAGAGGGAAACAACCCAGACCGCCAGCUAAGGUCCCAAAGUCAUGGUUAAGUGGGAAACGAUGUGGGAAGGCCCAGACAGCCAGGAUGUUGGCUUAGAAGCAGCCAUCAUUUAAAGAAAGCGUAAUAGCUCACUGGUCGAGUCGGCCUGCGCGGAAGAUGUAACGGGGCUAAACCAUGCACCGAAGCUGCGGCAGCGACGCUGAUGCGUUGUUGGGUAGGGGAGCGUUCUGUAAGCCUGCGAAGGUGGCCUGUGAGGGUUGCUGGAGGUAUCAGAAGUGCGAAUGCUGACAUAAGUAACGAUAAAGCGGGUGAAAAGCCCGCUCGCCGGAAGACCAAGGGUUCCUGUCCAACGUUAAUCGGGGCAGGGUGAGUCGACCCCUAAGGCGAGGCCGAAAGGCGUAGUCGAUGGGAAACGGGUUAAUAUUCCCGUACUUGGUGUUACUGCGAAGGGGGGACGGAGAAGGCUAUGUUGGCCGGGCGACGGUUGUCCCGGUUUAAGCGUGUAGGUGUGUGUUCCAGGUAAAUCCGGUUCACUUUAACACUGAGGCGUGAUGACGAGGCACUACGGUGCUGAAGCAACAAAUGCCCUGCUUCCAGGAAAAGCCUCUAAGCAUCAGGUAACAUCAAAUCGUACCCCAAACCGACACAGGUGGUCAGGUAGAGAAUACCAAGGCGCUUGAGAGAACUCGGGUGAAGGAACUAGGCAAAAUGGUGCCGUAACUUCGGGAGAAGGCACGCUGACACGUAGGUGAAGUGAUUUACUCAUGGAGCUGAAGUCAGUCGAAGAUACCAGCUGGCUGCAACUGUUUAUUAAAAACACAGCACUGUGCAAACACGAAAGUGGACGUAUACGGUGUGACGCCUGCCCGGUGCCGGAAGGUUAAUUGAUGGGGUCAGCGCAAGCGAAGCUCCUGAUCGAAGCCCCGGUAAACGGCGGCCGUAACUAUAACGGUCCUAAGGUAGCGAAAUUCCUUGUCGGGUAAGUUCCGACCUGCACGAAUGGCGUAAUGAUGGCCAGGCUGUCUCCACCCGAGACUCAGUGAAAUUGAACUCGCUGUGAAGAUGCAGUGUACCCGCGGCAAGACGGAAAGACCCCGUGAACCUUUACUAUAGCUUGACACUGAACAUUGAGCCUUGAUGUGUAGGAUAGGUGGGAGGCUUUGAAGUGUGGACGCCAGUCUGCAUGGAGCCGGCCUUGAAAUACCACCCUUUAAUGUUUGAUGUUCUAACGUGGACCCGUGAUCCGGGUUGCGGACAGUGUCUGGUGGGUAGUUUGACUGGGGCGGUCUCCUCCUAAAGAGUAACGGAGGAGCACGAAGGUUGGCUAAUCCUGGUCGGACAUCAGGAGGUUAGUGCAAUGGCAUAAGCCAGCUUGACUGCGAGCGUGACGGCGCGAGCAGGUGCGAAAGCAGGUCAUAGUGAUCCGGUGGUUCUGAAUGGAAGGGCCAUCGCUCAACGGAUAAAAGGUACUCCGGGGAUAACAGGCUGAUACCGCCCAAGAGUUCAUAUCGACGGCGGUGUUUGGCACCUCGAUGUCGGCUCAUCACAUCCUGGGGCUGAAGUAGGUCCCAAGGGUAUGGCUGUUCGCCAUUUAAAGUGGUACGCGAGCUGGGUUUAGAACGUCGUGAGACAGUUCGGUCCCUAUCUGCCGUGGGCGCUGGAGAACUGAGGGGGGCUGCUCCUAGUACGAGAGGACCGGAGUGGACGCAUCACUGGUGUUCGGGUUGUCAUGCCAAUGGCACUGCCCGGUAGCUAAAUGCGGAAGAGAUAAGUGCUGAAAGCAUCUAAGCACGAAACUUGCCCCGAGAUGAGUUCUCCCUGAGACUUAGAGUCUCCUGAAGGAACGUUGAAGACGACGACGUUGAUAGGCCGGGUGUGUAAGCGCAGCGAUGCGUUGAGCUAACCGGUACUAAUGAACCGUGAGGCUUAACCUU